rnacentral:rRNA from 1 species
CCUACGGGAGGCUGCAGUGGGGAAUAUUGCACAAUGGGCGCAAGCCUGAUGCAGCCAUGCCGCGUGUGUGAAGAAGGCCUUCGGGUUGUAAAGCACUUUCAGCGGGGAGGAAGGCGGUGAGGUUAAUAACCUCAUCGAUUGACGUUACCCGCAGAAGAAGCACCGGCUAACUCCGUGCCAGCAGCCGCGGUAAUACGGAGGGUGCAAGCGUUAAUCGGAAUUACUGGGCGUAAAGCGCACGCAGGCGGUCUGUCAAGUCGGAUGUGAAAUCCCCGGGCUCAACCUGGGAACUGCAUUCGAAACUGGCAGGCUAGAGUCUUGUAGAGGGGGGUAGAAUUCCAGGUGUAGCGGUGAAAAGCGUAGAGAUCUGGAGGAAUACCGGUGGCGAAGGCGGCCCCCUGGACAAAGACUGACGCUCAGGUGCGAAAGCGUGGGGAGCAAACAGGAUUAGAUACCCCAGUAGUC